AUGAACGCUGGCGGCGUGCCUAAUACCUGCAAGUCGAGCGAACGGACGAGAAGCUUGCUUCUCUGAUGUUAGCGGCGGACGGGUGAGUAACCCGUGGAUAACCUACCUAUAAGACUGGGAUAACUUCGGGAAACCGGAGCUAAUACCGGAUAAUAUUUUGAACCGCAUGGUUCAAAAGUGAAAGACGGUCUUGCUGUCACUUAUAGAUGGAUCCGCGCUGCAUUAGCUAGUUGGUAAGGUAACGGCUUACCAAGGCAACGAUGCAUAGCCGACCUGAGAGGGUGAUCGGCCACACUGGAACUGAGACACGGUCCAGACUCCUACGGGAGGCAGCAGUAGGGAAUCUUCCGCAAUGGGCGAAAGCCUGACGGAGCAACGCCGCGUGAGUGAUGAAGGUCUUCGGAUCGUAAAACUCUGUUAUUAGGGAAGAACAAAUGUGUAAGUAACUAUGCACGUCUUGACGGUACCUAAUCAGAAAGCCACGGCUAACUACGUG
rnacentral:rRNA from 1 species